UACGGAGGGUGCAAGCGUUAUCCGGAUUCACUGGGUUUAAAGGGUGCGUAGGCGGCGGUGUAAGUCGGAUGUGAAAUCCCGAGGCUCAACCUCGGAACUGCAUUCGAUACUGCAUCGCUAGAGUACUGGAGAGGAGAUUGGAAUUUACGGUGUAGCAGUGAAAUGCGUAGAUAUCGUAAGGAAGACCAGUGGCGAAGGCGAAUCUCUGGACAGUUACUGACGCUGAGGCACGAAGGCUAGGGGAGCAAACGGG
rnacentral:rRNA from 1 species